AUGUCUUCAUUAGAGCAGCAUGACUGUUUUCCCAAUGCAAGUAUUGCAUAUAAAGUUCUGUUGACCAUUCCUUUGACAGUUGCAUCGGCAGAAAUAAGUUUUUCUAAGUUAAAGCUAUUGAAGUCCUAUAUGCAUACUACUAUGACACAACAAAUACUCAACGAUUUGGCCACAAUAGCAAUUGAGAGUGAAGCGUUGGAGAAGAUUGAUUACGAGGAUAUCAUUAAAGAUCUCAUUUCAGAGAAUACUAAAAGAAUGAAGCUUUUCAAAUAA
rnacentral:rRNA from 1 species